AAGAACGCAGUUGUCACAGAACAAAAUCAAAAGGCAGUGGCAACGCACCCACAUCAGAGGAAAGAGAAGCAACUAUGGAGCUGGAAUCCCCAUGACCGAAGGAGAGAGAGCACACUCAGCUUUGUCUAAAAACGCAUGACAUCAGUAUCAUCACAGUGCUGAGCCGCAAAGCCGCUUUGCUACCACCAGAGGGAAACAUCCCCUCUGCUCUGCAAUAGGGCAUGGAGAGUGAAUAAAAAGUGAAAGUUUCAUUUCCUCCUGCUCUGCAAAGUGAAUGACCCCCAGUAUCCAACACACAAAGUCAUCCACCAUUAUUUAGAAGCUCUUAAAUUUAGUAUAAUCCACGGGACUGUCCUGUGUCAUCUACGCAUCAGUCCAGUCUCCCUCUCUCCACCCAUCUGAACCCUUUUAUCCGAUUCAAUCACGUCAAAAAUGUCAACACACUCAGCCUGGUUUAACUUGGAAACGCUGAUAUGAAGGCAACAUAUGAGAAAGUGAAGCUCACACAAUGACAGGAGACUGAGGCGACCCAGUUCUGUUUCUCUCACUUUCUGACGUGAUGACAAACCACCAGGCCUCGACGUGAUUUGGUUUUGUUUGAUACUAAAUACAAAAAAAAAAAUCCCCCUCUGCAUCUUUGCUCUGUGCCAUGCACCUGCUCCAUUGAGAACAAACAGCACUGUUUUUAUUUGGCAAAUAAUGAGAGAGAGAGAGAGAGAGAGAGAGAGAGAGAGAGAGAGAGAGAGAAAAGCAGUGGAGCCGGAUCAUCGCUGCACAAACCGCGGUGGAAAUGUCAGUUGCGUCAUUCGUGAGUCUGCAGCGCAAACGCAACAACAGUGCGCCCGUUCGGUGCGACGCUGCCAGCCGAGCCGCAGAGAGCGCCGACCUUACCUGUUACUGCGCCGGAUGAUGCGACUGUUUUCGCCAUGGAAG